rnacentral:rRNA from 1 species
CUUGGUGACUAUACCGGCGUUGUUCCACCUGAUCCCAUUCCGAACUCAGUAGUGAAAGACGUCAGGGCCGAUGAUAGCCAGUUUACUGGCAAAAGUAGGUCGUCGCCAGAC